GUCGCGAGCUGCGGAAGGCCGUCGUCCUCCACGCGCUGCAAGGAGGGCGUCUCCUCGGAGGAGGGGAACCGCGCUGUUCGGUGGUCUCCCCCAGGCCCGCCAUUCCGGCAGCAGCUGCUCCUGUUUCCUCCGUCUGCGUGGAGAAUCAAAGGUUGCUGGGAGUCUGCCCGUGGCUGAUGAUGUCAUUGCAAGGAACUGAAGGAGGGUGGCUGGCUGGAGAUCAGGCGUCCACGGCGUGCAGGAGCUCGCCCGAAGGCCCACUGCGGCUACCUGGACGCUGUUCCGGAGAUCAUCGACAUCAGCAACAAAGAUAGGUCGAGCUGCUGCAUGUUAUUGAUUUUGUUGGACAGCUUCAAAACACCGAGAUCCAUUCGAGUUCACUCGCAGAUGCUUAUCCUGUCAAGGCAGUCGUACAGGAAGAUGCAUUUGAGCUGUGCAAGGACAACAGAUACAGCCAGCCAACAGGGAAGAGUGGGCUGUCAGCCGCAGAAAAUUGAUGACAUUGUACAACUCCGUGGGCUGCCAUGACUCCGACAUGGCUCUAACGACCACCUCCCCAACAAGCUACUGCCGGUUGAAAGCAUGUCGGAGGAGGAUCUGAAGGGCGAGAACCGGCGUCGCAGUGGAACCGGGAGGAGGAGGUGUGGUGGCGAACACCAUCUGCGACAUCAAAUAGUGCAUCGUGGAGGCGCUCAGGUGGUUGUGAAUGGACUAGUCUACUGAUUGCGAUUGUUUUAGUGUACGGAGCUUCCACUUGUUCUUCUGGAUUUAACGAUUGAAUUGGUUCUAUAUUGGUUGGACAAUAGUUCAAAUGGUCCCGUAAAUCUCAAAUGGUUCCCUAAAUCUCAAAUGGUUCGGUCAUAAUUGAACUUUUGCUUACAGUAUCUCAUCCCCUUAUUAUUUUGUUGCAUGCAAAUGGUGUAGCGUGAUUCCAGUUAUGCCUAAGUUGGGAACAAUAGGUUCUUAAUUGUCGAUUGUUGGAUGCUUAAGUUGGGUACAUGUGCGUUUAUUAGUGGCUGUUAUUUGGAUCCUUCUAUAAAUAUAAGUGUUUUUUUUACCUGACCAUGCUUUGUUCUUGCUCGAGGAUAACUAGGGGGGCUAAACAAUGAGAGCGGUCGCCUUGGUGUGACCCCAUGUGUUUAGGUAUGAUUCUGGUCCUCUCUGUGAUUUCUUACUCUUGUGCAUGUAGUUGACCAUGUAGCCUCUCCACAUGCCCAUUGCUGGGCUGGAGUAUCCAGUUUUGUGUCAACAUAAUUUAUAACGUUUAGUAAUAUCACUGUUGUAGUUGCGGUUUGUAUUCAAGUCGAAGGAGUUUUAUUGAAGCUGUGGGUUUUAUUUUGUUGUUUUUCUACCACCAAUCAAUCAGAUAAGAAGAGUUGUUGCUACAAUUCGGUGAAGUUGAUGAAAUUUUUUGGGUGAUUUCUGGUAGUACUGGAAUCGUGCCAUUGCAGGUACUAGUUGAUAUUCUCAGCAUUUAACAUGCUAGUCAAGCUGGACUGCGUGUUUGAAUGCAUCUAGAGGUGCAGCGAGGCAAGCCAACGGUGAAGCGCGGGCAAGGCAGACGCACCAAACGACGACAUUGUAGAACUGUGUUGCCGGCUAGCUCAGGCGGAGCCGCUGCCGUGCUGGCCUAGGACCGGUUGGGUAAUUGUGUUGGUGCUGUCAUAUUCAUCAUCCAGAGGUGGUAGUAGCCCGAUGAAUUGUGUGUGUAAUAAUAAUAUUCAUUCAUGCUCCGGAUGGGAUGGCAGAGCAGAGUUUGUUGUACUGUAAUAGCAAGCGGUGUGAGUUCGCAUGGUAGCUGCAAUAUUUUGAAUGAUUGGAUGAGCCUUGCGAUUUAGAAGCUG